CUUCCUUUUCCAUCUCCACCUUUCUUCAGCCGUUCUCCCCAUUUCUUCUCCCUUCCAUCCCCUCUCCCACUUUUCCUUAAUGGUCUCUCCUUUUCUAUUCUCUCACAGAUCCUAUCAAGACAUCCUGUGACUAUCCUCACCCACCCACUAGAACUCAGGAUCUCGAGUUCCCAAGACUUCAGUGCUCAGGAAUUGAGGGUUAAAGAGAGGAGCUGGGUGUAAGGGCGUGUGUGGUUUGAAUGCUGGAAUCUGCAAUGAACUGGAGAACAGUCGCCCUGUCCAAAGGAAGCAGGUCUAUCCAGUUGCUUGUUGUCAAAUACGCAAUAAGAGCUGGCUUGGUUGUAACCUACAUUUUUCAAGAAAAGUAGAAGUCUGGACUUUUAUGUGAAAGUAAAAUUUGACCUAAAAUACACUUUUGCUAGCUGACAACAACGUGGGGCCUCCCAGUUUGUGUCUCUUCUAUAAAAAGUUUGUCCUAAAUGCCAUAUUGGUAGUUUUAGAUUCACAAUGGUUUCUAUUGUGAAUUUGGAUUUAUAAAGAGGCACAUUUUCUCUUUAAAAGAAAGGCUGUAAGAAACAGGUGUCUUAAGCUUUUAUUUGGUAUAACUUGAUUAACAGAAAUAAUAGUGAGUGUGUAUUAUGUAGGAAAAAACUACUCUGAGUAGGGAUAUUUCUCUCAAAUGGGAAGUCAUUUCAUUCAGACUGGAAGAAGAUAGUCAUGAAGAUAUCCCCCCAAAAUAGGCUCUCUUACUUAUAGUUAUUACACAAGACAAUGCACAGAAAGAACUCACACCUGGGCAGGUGUGAGCUGUAGGGAUGCUGGCUCAGCUGUCUUCUCUAUUCUUAGCUUAGGAAGGAGAGAGCAGGAAGCUUAGAGGGACAGGAGACCUCCUGAUACAGGACAUAAGGAGGCCAAGUUAAAAUCAUCUGUUGGCUAUCAGGGAUGUAGUCUCUUGGCACCAAAAGCCUUGGGAAUGGGGCCCAGUCAUCUGUGUUUUAACAAGUUCUCAGGUAAUUUUGAUAUUCAGCUAUAGUUAGAGAACCACUGUUCUUUGGCAUUAUGUAAUGUUAUGCAAUAAAUUUCUCAGAAUGCUAAGUGAAAAUAUUGGCUUGGGGUUAGACAGGAAAGGCUUCCUGGAAGGAAGGGAGUUUGAAGCAGAACUUAGAGAGGCAGUAAGGUGAACCAGCAAGUGCACUGGAUCAGGAUACUGGAGUUCUAGCCUCUGACUCGGGUUCCCUCUUUGCUAAAUAGAGAUAAUAAUCUGUCUUGAUUACAGAUUGAAAAUUUGUAUCCCCCUUUCUCCCCCCUCCCCCCAAUUUACCUGUUGCAAAUCUGAUGCUCAGGGUGAUGGUAUUAGGAGGUAAGGCCUUUGGGAAGUGAUUAGGUCAUGAGGUCUGAGCUCUCAUGAAGAGAUUUGUGCCCUUAUAAAAGAGGCCCCUUCCCCACAACCAUGGGAGAACACACUGGAAGGUACCAUCUGGGUACCAGAAGGUGGACCUUAGCCAGACACUGAAUCUUCUGGUUCCUGAUCUUAGACUUUACAGUCUCCAAACUAUGAUAAAUAAAUUUCGAUUGUUUAUAAGCCACCCAGUAUUUUGUUAUAGCAGCCCAAAUGGACAAAGACAAAUUUUCUCACAAACUUAUUGUGGGGAGCAAAUGUGUACAAAUGUGUGGCAAUCUACAAUGCCUUAAAAAAUGUGUGGCCUGGUACUGUUUUUCGUACCACACUGCCCUCAGGCAAUGCUGUUCAGCUUAGCUUCCUUAAACAGUAUCAAAUUUGUGAACCGAUCCCAUUGGCCUUUUACAUUCUUAGGGCAUGUGUGUUAAAGUUCCUUCUGAAAUAUUUUUGGAAAUCUUCAGCAUAAAUUUACAGCAUUGAUUUAUUUGGAAAAUAAAGGCCUAUCUUUCCAAGAA